rnacentral:rRNA from 1 species
UACGUAGGGGGCGAGCGUUGUCCGGAUUUAUUGGGCGUAAAGAGCGUGUAGGCGGCCAGGUAGGUCUGCUGUGAAAGCUCGAGGCUCAACCUCGAGACGUCGGCGGAAACCAUCUGGCUAGAGUCCGGAAGAGGAGAGUGGAAUUCCUGGUGUAGCGGUGAAAUGCGCAGAUAUCGGGAAGAACACCCGUGGCGAAGGCGGCUCUCUGGGACGGUACUGACGCUGAGACGCGAAAGCGAGGGGAGCGAACAGG